rnacentral:rRNA from 1 species
GACGAACGCUGGCGGCGUGCUUAACACAUGCAAGUCGAACGGAAAGGCCCUGCUUCUGUGGGGUGCUCGAGUGGCGAACGGGUGAGUAACACGUGAGUAACCUGCCCUUGACUUUGGGAUAACUUCAGGAAACUGGGGCUAAUACCGGAUAGGAGCUCCUGCUGCAUGGUGGGGGUUGGAAAGUUUCGGCGGUUGGGGAUGGACUCGCGGCUUAUCAGCUUGUUGGUGGGGUAGUGGCUUACCAAGGCUUUGACGGGUAGCCGGCCUGAGAGGGUGACCGGCCACAUGGGGACUGAGAUACGGCCCAGACUCCUACGGGAGGCAGCGGUGGGGAAUAUUGCACAAUGGGCGGAAGCCUGAUGCAGCAACGCCGCGUGCGGGAUGACGGCCUUCGGGUUGUAAACCGCUUUCGCCUGUGACGAAGCGUGAGUGACGGUAAUGGGUAAAGAAGCACCGGCUAACUACGUG